AAGUCUGAUGUGAAAGCCUUCGGCUUAACCGAAGAUGUGCAUUGGAAACUGGGGAACUUGAGUGCAGAAGAGGAGAGUGGAACUCCAUGUGUAGCGGUGAAAUGCGUAGAUAUAUGGAAGAACACCAGUGGCGAAAGCGGCUCUCUGGUCUGUAACUGACGCUGAGGUUCGAAAGCGUGGGUAGCGAACAGGAUUAGAUACCCUGGUAGUCCACGCCGUAAACGAUGAAUGCUAGGUGUUGGAGGGUUUCCGCCCUUCAGUGCCGCAGCUAACGCACUAAGCAUUCCGCCUGGGGAGUACGACCGCAAGGUUGAAACUCAAAGGAAUUGACGGGGGCCCGCACAAGCGGUGGAGCAUGUGGUUUAAUUCGAAGCUACGCGAAGAACCUUACCAGGUCUUGACAUCUUUUGACCACCUAAGAGAUUAGGUUUUCCCUUCGGGGACAAAAUGACAGGUGGUGCAUGGUUGUCGUCA
rnacentral:rRNA from 2 species